UGCCAUUUUGGUUUUUUUUUUUUGUUCAUUAUUGGAAGGGUGAGAGGAGGAUGGUUGAUAGCUUUUGGUCGAUGUACUGAGAUUACAUAUAAUAUAAAAACAAGGAAAGAAAGGAGGGAAGCUUGAGAAUUGAUCCUUCAUAUAAAGAGAGUUCUUGAUUCAGUCAAAUGCUUGGGAAAUCCUCAAGUCCACCCACUGGCCCACUCCAUCUUUCUCCCUCUUGCUAUUAAUUCUUUGCAGGGAGAUCAAAUCUGUGAAGAAUCCAUCAUUGAAUCAGAUAUCAGAAUGCUGUGUCAUAUCCAGUCUUCCACCACAGCUUUUGAUGCUGGGGCUGCAUGGCUCUUUGGUGACUCAUUCAGAGAUGGUGAUUCAUUAUCAGAUUCACCAAGAUUGAUCCACUUGUGGUUACUUAUUCCUCAUUCCCGUGGGGGAUAGCUAUCAAUUCAGAGCCAGCCAAAGAUAUUUAGUGUAGCAUUUUCCGAUGCUGAUUCUUCCUCAAGAUUCAGAGCUUUGUAAUUGACGGGCGUAUUUAUUGCUGAGUGCUGAGCCAGUGGACGGGCAGAUGUAGUGGUUUUAACACACAAUGAAUGUAACAGUUUACCAUUUCGACAAGUUCAAUGUCAAUCCGCAUAUUGAAGACUGUGACCAGUACAUUGUUGUAACGGGCGUACUUCAAUUAACAAUUUGGUACUAUCCUAAUUACAGAUUAUGAAUUGAUUAAGAAAAGAAAGAGAAAAGAAAUCAGAAGAAAAGAUUGUAUGAAGAGGAUUUUUAUAGAGAGAAAUUCAGAGUAGAAGAAUAUCAGAAGUCAUUUCACAGUAAAGUGUGAAGCAGAAGAAUAUUAAGAGCUACAUGAAAAAAUCAUUAGAAACUAUAUGAGUGUGAAG
rnacentral:sRNA from 1 species